CCGGGGGAUAGUGAGGGCGGUGGACCGAAGCUUCCAGAAUGCAAGCACAACCUGCCCAGGAGUGGACAGAGGCAGCUCGGAUGGUCUGCAGGAGCCGGGUUGCUGAGGUCUGCUGGGUUUGCCAGGAACCAUAGGGCUGGGGCUGCUGCUGCUGCUGGGGACUCCAGCGCUGUCCUGUGAGACAGGUCUGCCUCAGAUGGGACCUGAGGACAAGAGAGUGCAUCUGGGGAAGCAGGUUUCAGGUUCCUGCCUGGAUAUCUGGCUGGGGGUAAGGAGGGCGGCUCCCUGGCUGGCCAGCUCCUCAGUAUUGCAGGGCAGCAGCCCCCUCCCCCCUUUGUGCGUCCUGUGAGAUGGGCCAGGGCCAACGCCCUGCUCACGUCCCUACCGCCUUCGUCUCCUUUCCAGGCCCCUCCUUCCUUCCGGGCCAUUAGUCUCUCCCUGCACAGCUGCCAGUUCCUUCUCCUUGAUGGGUCUGGUUUGGUUGCCAGGGGAGUGGGAAGCGGGAGGAAGGGAGAGAUGGGACAGGACGAAUAAAUGACAGCUUGGCCUCCCCUAACUCCUGGGAAUUGGGAGGGGUAGGGUCCCACCCGGGAUAGGGCCGGGAGGCUUGGUGGGUGUGAGGAGGGGCUAGGGAAGCCUUGGUGCUUCCUGCCGCAGUCCUGGGCACUGAGCCCCAGCUGCUGUUGGCCUGGAGCCCCAUCUAUCCCGGAUUUGGCCCCACCCUCCAGGAGCAGGGAGCCAGCUCUGCAUCAGGAGAGGCGGGCAAGGCCUGGGGAGGACCAGCUCAGGCCCUGUCUACAGGGCACUAGUGGGGGACCCAAGCCUCUGAGAGUAGAGGCUGCUGGGGCUGCAGCUGGGCCUGGGGAGUUCCAGAUGGAGUUCCCGUCCUCACCCUGCUUAAGGGCUCCGCUGGCCACCUACAUGCCUCGGAGGAGAAGGGACAGAGGGCUGCCACAGCAGGGCUCUGGAGCUGUGGAUCAGGCCUGGGUGGGGAACUGCCAGGCAGAAGAGGCUCCUCCCCUAAAGCAGAAGGAGCAGGCCAGCAACUCCAGGCGGAGCAAAGAUGACAUUUAUCCAAGGGAGUGUAAAAUAGAGUCAGAGAAGCACUGGUAUGAGGAGUUUGGAGCCCUCAUUCCAUUCAUUCCCUGAGUUCUAGGAGCCUCCUCUGUUCCUCCAGAAGCCAAAAGACAGGGCAGGAAGACAAAAUCUUUCCGCAACUCCUCACCAUUCUCUGUUGUGCCCACAAUCUCCGGUUCCACCCUCACUGUAAAAUCACGUCUCCAUCCGCCUGCUUGAUCUUUCAGCCAGCCGCUCCUCAGCUGGAGAAUGGGAAAUAAUGGGCUGUGCCAGCAAGCCACACUCCAAGGGCAGAGUGCUCAGUGAACCUGUUCAAAGUGUGGCCUGGGCAGCUGCCUGAGGGUCACCCGGGCCAUGAAAAGGCAGGCCCCUGGGUCCUACCCACAUCUUCUGAAUCUUUAGAAGGGCAUUGACAAAUGCUCUACUGAUUUUUAAGUAUUCCUGGAUUAAGAUAUUUUUUCUUUAAAUUGUCCAUCUUUUACUCUAUUUUAUCUUGAAAAAAAUCAAACCCAGGACAAAGUUGAAAGAAUGCUGCUAUGAACACCAAUAUAUCCUUCCCUUGGAUUUACCAGUUGUCAAUGUUUUGCCACAAUUCCUCUGGAAGUGUUAGACAUCAUUAUAUUUAAUCUCUGAAUACAUUAGCAUGUAACUCCAAAGAACAAGGACAUUUUCCUACAUAACCACAGUAGGAUUAGCCCACUGAAGACAUUUAACAUCGAUUUGCCUUUAUUUGUGUAAAAAAAUUUUGUAACUAACAAAAAAGAAAUUUAACACUGAUAUAACAGUAUUAUCUAAUACACAGCCCAUAUUCAAAUUCCCUCAAUUGCCCCAAUAACAUUCUUUAUAGCUAUUUCCAUGCAAUCUAGGACUUGAAAAUCAUGAAUUGUAUUCAGUCAUCACCCGAGCAGAAGGGUAAGGCUGGGGAUGAGCUUGGCAUGUUUGAAGAAUUGCAGAAAGUUCAGUGAGGCUGGCGCGAGGCAGAUGAGGGAAGAGAGCGGGAAAGGUGAGGUUAGAGGCAUGGCAAGGAGUCAAAGAUCACGAGGCUUUUAAAAUCAGAGUAAAGAGUUUAUUUUAAAUGCAAUGAAAAGCCAUUAGAGGGUUUGAAGCAGGGAAUGACUUAAUCUGAUUUAUAAUUUUUGUUUUGUUUUGUUUUGUUUUUGAAAUGGAGUCUCGCUCUGUCGCCAGGCUGGAGUGCAGUCGUGCGAUCUUGGCUCACUGCAACCUCUGCCUCCCAGGUUCAGGUGAUUCUCCUGCCUCAGCCUCCCGAGUAGCUGGGACUACAGGAGCGUGCCACCACACACAGCUAAUUUUUUUGUAUUUUUAGUAGAGGUGGGGUUUCACCAUGUUGGCCAGAAUGGGCUCGAUCUCCUGACCUAGUGAUCUGCCCGCCUCGGCCUCCCAAAGUGCUGGAAUUACAGGCAUGAGCCACCUUGCUCCGCCCUGAUUUAGGAUUUUAAAAGGUCAAUCUGAAGACAAUUUCAGAGUUGGGACAUUCUAUAAGACAACUAGUCCUAGACUCUUUAAAAAGUUAAGGUCAAGGCCAGGCACGGUGUCUCACACCUGUAAUCCCAGCACUUUAGGAGGCCUAGGUGGGCGGAUCACCUGAGGUCGGGAGUUGGAGACCAGCCUGAUCAACAUGGCGAAACCCUGUCUCUACUAAAAAUACAAGAAAAAAAAAGUUAAUGCCAAAAUAAUAAUAAUAAUAAUAAUAAUAAUAAGUUUAUAUCAUUUUUUGUUGGUGUUUUUUGGAGCUUUCAUAACAAAUUACCACAAACUUGGUGGCUUAGAACAACAAAAAUGUAUUCUCUCACAGUUCUGAAGUCCAGAAGUCCAAAAUCAAGGUGUUGGUGGGGCUGUAGUCCCGAAGGCUGGAGCAGAGAGGAACCCUUCCUUGCCUCUUCCAGCUUGUGGUGCUCCAGGCAUUCCUUGGCUUGUGACCACAUCCCUCCAGUCUCUCCCUCUGUCUUCGCAUGGCCGUCUCCUCCUUUGUGUCCAUGUCUCCUCUUCCUCUUACAAAGACCCUCAUCUUUGGAUUUGGGGCCCACCCAAGUAAUCCAGGAUGAUCUCACCUUAAGAUCAUUGUUUACCCCUGUAAAGACGCUUUUCCCAAAUAAGGUCACAUUAACAUGUCCUAGGACAUAGACAUAUGUUUUGGGAAGCCACCAUUCAGUCCACUACAGUGGGAGAUCAUUUUGACAACAAGAGACUAAGAGAUGAAACAAUCAAAUGUAUGUACAAAGCUAGAUUGGACCCUAAAUUUUUUUUAAAGAGGUUAUUGGAGAAUUUGGGGUAUUAUAUGCUAUGAAAUGAUUAUUCUUCUUUUAGGUGUGAAGAUCGGAGUGUGGUUGUGUAAUGGAAUGUCUGCCUGCUAAAGUAUUUAGGAGUGGAGUGUCAUGAUAUCCUCAACCUUCUUUCUAGUGGGUUAGCAAAGAAAAGGUAUAUGUUCUAGAGAAAGAAAGAAAUGGCAAUUUUUAAAAAUUUUUUCUUCUAUUAAUUUUUUUCCUUUUUUAAAAAAAUAGUUUGUCUUCAUCUUACUUGUUAUUUUUUCUAUUUAUUUAUUUAUUUAAAAUAUUUAUUUAUUUAAAAUAGAUACUGGGUCUCACUGUGUUGCCCAGGCUGGUCUCAAACCCCUGGGCUCAAACAGUCCUCCUGCCUCAGCCUCCCAAAGCGCUGGGAUUACAGGCAUUAACCACUGUGCCCGGCUGAAAUAUGGCAAAUAUCAGCUGGGCACAGUGGCUCACGCCUGUAAUCC
rnacentral:lncRNA from 1 species